rnacentral:rRNA from 1 species
UACAUGAUCUGAGUUCAAACCGGCGUGAGCCAGGUUGGUUUCUAUCUUUAAUAAUUUUAAAAUAUUUUAGUACGAAAGGACCAAAUAUUUGUAAUAUUUAUUUUAUAUUGAAUUA